rnacentral:rRNA from 1 species
UACAGAGGGUGCAAGCGUUAAUCGGAAUUACUGGGCGUAAAGCGCAUGAUGGUGGUUAAAUAAGUUUGAUGUGAAAGCCCUGGGCUUAACCUGGGAAUGGCAUUGAAUACUGUUUGACUGGAGUCGGACAGAGGGUAGUGGAAUUUCCGGUGUAGCGGUGAAAUUCGUAGAUAUCGGGAGGAACACCAGUGGCGAAGGCGGCGAUCUGGGAAGAUACUGACGCUGAGGUGCGAAAGCGUGGGGAGCAAACAGG